rnacentral:snoRNA from 1 species
AUUCUAUGAUGGGGACAUUCUAGGAUGUAGUCUUGGAAGUGCUCUCAUGCCUCUGGAACGGAUUCAUCAUGUUGUUGCUGAAAACUUGUAAUCUUCCCACAAAGAGU